rnacentral:tRNA from 1 species
GGGCCGGUAGUUUAGGCUGGUAAAAUGCUCGCUUCGCAAGCGAGAGUCCGCGGGUUCAAGUCCCGCCCGGUCCA